rnacentral:lncRNA from 1 species
ACAAAUAGAAAAGUGUUAAAAUUGAGCCAUGAGCAGAGAUUUUUGUGGGUUCGCCAUGAGCACUCAGAAGUGAUAUGGUACUUCUUUCCUUUCAGUACCUUCUAGGUGACCAGUCUUUGGCUUUGACAGGCAAAAUGUGCAUCAGAUACCCUUCAGAGCUAAGGUAUUCCAAUGUGGCACAGAGAAGCAUCCGUCCCUGGAAAACUUUGAGAUGUGCUCCCUGACAUACGCAAUUUUUUCUCCAAGAUAGCUUUUCCUAGAAGCUUAGUUUACUGUUGCUAUAAUGACCUUACAAUCUGUACCAGUUUUGUCUUCUGGAUGUGAUUCUGUGAAGUCUUGCACAGCCUCAACACCUACUCCCAUAAGUGGCCAAAAUUAGAAUUACACAGCAUGUCAUCCUUUAUUACUACAG